CACGUAGUUAGCCGUGGCUUCCUCGUCAGGUACCGUCAAGGUACCGCCCUGUUCGAACGGUACUUGUUCUUCCCUGACAACAGAGCUUUACGAUCCGAAGACCUUCUUCGCUCACGCGGCGUUGCUCCGUCAGACUUUCGUCCAUUGCGGAAGAUUCCCUACUGCUGCCUCCCGUAGGAGUCUGGGCCGCGUCUCAGUCCCAGUGUGGCCGGUCACCCUCUCAGGUCGGCUACGCAUCGUCGCCUUGGUGAGCCGUUACCUCACCAACUAGCUAAUGCGCCGCGGGCCCAUCCUGCAGUGACAGCUAAAAGCCGCCUUUCAACCGAAACCAUGCGGUUUUCGGUGUUAUCCGGUAUUAGCUCCGGUUUCCCGAAGUUAUCCCAGUCUGCAGGGCAGGUUACCCACGUGUUACUCACCCGUCCGCCGCUAACCUAAAGGAGCAAGCUCCCUUCGGUCCGCUCGACUUGCAUGUAUUAGGCACGCCGCCAGCGUCGUCUCGUGCGACGAGUCAACUACU
rnacentral:rRNA from 1 species